AGCAGGUUGAAGUGAAAGUAAAAUUUCAUGGAGGACCGAACCGGGUAGCGUUUAAAAGCUAUCGGAUGACUUGUGGAUAGGGGUGAAAAGCCAAUCGAACUUGGAGAUAGCUGGUUCUCCUCGAAAUAGCUUUAGGGCUAGCCUCAAUUUAGUUUACAGGGGGUAGAGCACUGAAUACCGUAGGGGUGUUAGACAUUACCGAAAGUUAUCAAACUGCGAAUACCUGAUAAAUGAUGAUUGGGAGUCAGACUAUGUGGGAUAAGCUUCAUAGUCAAAAGGGAAAGAGCCCAGACCACCAGCUAAGGUCCCUAAAUAUAGAUUAAGUGGUAAAGGAUGUUUUACUACUCAGACAACCAGGAUGUUGGCUUAGAAGCAGCCAUACAUUUAAAGAGUGCGUAAUAGCUCACUGGUCAAGUGGUAGAGCGCCGAAAAUGAACGGGGCUAAAAUCUAAUACCGAAGCUGUGGACUAAUUAAAUUAGUGGUAGAGGAGCAUUGUGUAAGGGGUGAAGCUAAGUUGGAAGACGAAGUGGACUUUACAGAAGAGAGAAUGCUGGCAUGAGUAGCGAAAAGGAGGGUGAGAAUCCCUCCCGUCGAAAGCCUAAGGAUUCCUGAGGAAGGCUCGUCCUCUCAGGGUAAGUCGGGACCUAAGCCCAGGCUGAAAAGCGUAAGCGAUGGACAACAGGUUGAGAUUCCUGUACUAUCUUUGAAUGUUUGAGAGAAGUACUGACGCAGGAGGAUAUGUUGAGCGUGUGAAUGGUAGAGCACGUCUAAGCAAGUAGAUAGAGAAUAGAGGCAAAUCCCUAUUCUUAAUAUCGAGAUGUGAUGGGGAGCGAAAAACAAGUAGUGAAGCAACAAAUUCCAAACUGCCAAGAAAAGGUACUAUUGAGUGAGAAGAUACCCGUACCAAAACCGACACAGGUAGGCAAGGAGAGAAUCCUAAGACGCGCGGAAGAACCUUUGUUAAGGAACUCGGCAAAAUGACCCCGUAACUUCGGGAGAAGGGGUACCAUUAGAUGUGAUAUACAUACGUAUGGAGCAUAGAGUGGUCGCAGAGAAUAGGCCCAAGCAACUGUUUACCAAAAACACAAGUCUCUGCUAAAUCGAAAGAUGAAGUAUAGGGGCUGACACCUGCCCGGUGCUGGAAGGUUAAGGGGAAAUGUUAGAGCAAUCGAAGCAUAGAACUUAAGCCCCAGUAAACGGCGGCCGUAACUAUAACGGUCCUAAGGGAGCGAAAUUCCUUGUCGGGUAAGUUCCGACCCGCACGAAAGGCGUAACGAUUUGG
rnacentral:rRNA from 1 species